AGAGAGAGACAUGCGCGCAUAUCAAUAAGCGGAGGAAAAGAAACUAACAAGGAUUCCCCUAGUAACGGCGAGUGAAGCGGGAAGAGCUCAAAUUUGAAAUCUUAAAGGGUUUCCCUUUACGAAUUGUAGUUUAAAGAAGUGUUUUCUGUUGAGGUUUUGGUAAAAGUUCUUUGGAAUAGGACAUCAUAGAGGGUGAGAAUCCCGUAUUUGACCUUUACUUUCAACUUUGUGAUACACUUUCAAAGAGUCGGAUUGUUUGGGAAUGCAGUCCAAAAUGGGUGGUAAAUUUCAUCUAAAGCUAAAUAUUGGCGAGAGACCGAUAGCGAACAAGUACCGUGAGGGGAAGAUGAAAAGAACUUUGAAAAGAGAGUUAAACAGUACGUGAAAUUGUCAAAAGGGAAGCGUUUGACACCAGUGUUGUUUUUCUGAAAAUCAAUUAAAGAACUGUUUAUGCUAAGUUGUUUAGGACUUUAUCAGCUAACUGUUUAGUUUUGAGCUUUUCUUUAAUGCACUUUUCAGUUAACAAGUCAACAUCAAUUUCUUUUGCUGUAAAAAGCUUGAGGAAGGUGGCUUGAGAUUCGUCUUAAGUGUUUAUAGCCUCUUGCCUAUGCAGUCGGAGAGAUUGAGGUCUGCAGCGUAGAUCCUUCGGGGCUAAACGCAUUUGUGCUAAGUUAUAGCAUUUUAUAGACAACUUGUUGACUAUGAUUUGUCUUGUAGCUUACUCGCUUAUGUUAUUUUACCUACGCUUAGGAUGUUGAGCGCAUGUCUCUCUCU
rnacentral:rRNA from 1 species